rnacentral:rRNA from 2 species
ACAACUUUCAGCAACGGAUCUCUUGGCUCUCGCAUCGAUGAAGAACGCAGCGAAAUGCGAUAAGUAAUGUGAAUUGCAGAAUUCAGUGAAUCAUCGAAUCUUUGAACGCACCUUGCGCUCCUUGGUAUUCCGAGGAGCAUGCCUGUUUGAGUGUCAUGAAAUCUU